rnacentral:lncRNA from 1 species
AAACACCCAAAAUUUAAACCCAGACCCGAAAUAGACCCUAAACCCGACGUAAAUAGAUCCCUAAACCCGUCAACUGAACCUAAAUGGAUCCUAACUUGGACCCAAUUGGCUAAACCCGGAUCACCAGGUCCAAAAUGCGACCGAAUACCCCUAGCCCAAAACCAAAAUGAAUAGGAAACCCUAGGGUUUCGGAAAUGGCACGAGCGCCGCAACAGUGACCUCCAAC